rnacentral:rRNA from 1 species
UACGUAGGGGGCGAGCGUUGUCCGGAAUCAUUGGGCGUAAAGCGCGUGUAGGCGGCUCGGUAAGUCUGCUGUGAAAGUCCAGGGCUCAACCCUGGGAUGCCGGUGGAUACUGUCGAGCUCGAGUCCGGAAGAGGCGAGUGGAAUUCCUGGUGUAGCGGUGAAAUGCGCAGAUAUCAGGAGGAACACCGGUGGCGAAGGCGGCUCUCUGGAACGGUACUGACGCUGAGACGCGAAAGCGUGGGGAGCGAACAGG